ACACUCUGGCUUUUGAGUGUGGACUAAACGCUCUCUACCACUAGAGUUACAAGCCCUCACGUAUUAAGCCUGUUUUGAUGGCAUAAGUGCACAAUGUCAAUGUGCAGGAUCAAGAUGUUGAUGUUUACAAAGAGAAAUUCUACCACAUGACCAAAUUGCGUGUAACCUCAACCAUAAAUAAUAGUACAAAAAUUUCUAAAACCAAUCAAGCCUCAAUCAUGAAAUUAUGAAAGAAAAAUCCAUAAUUGAAGAAACCCAGAUUGAGAAUUGGGAUGACUUACUCGGAUUAUGAUCGAACUCUGUCUUUCUAAGAAGCAAAUAUUCUGAGAAUUACGUUGUCCAUAUAUAUCAGCUCAAUUUUUAAGACGUCAAAUAGUAAAAGAAUCUCGACCAAAAAAAAAAAUAGUAAAAGAAUUUUGACGAUCAAUUAAGACUCUUUCAAUGGCUAGUAAGUGGGCGGUUUAGAGGUGCCGUACAAAGAUAUUUAUAAACCAGCAUGCCAAGUUAAUAUACAACCAUUGGGAAUUGGGUGUGUGUGUGUGUGUUUGAAUACUCAUGACAUGAGAAUCCCGGAGUGUCUGAGAGCGCGAUGGGAACUUAUCUGAACGAUUCAAACUCUCAUCACUGCAAACAACGAAAAUUUGACUCGGAUUUUCCUGAAUGAAAAACACUAAAAGUUUUUAUGUAAUGGACCAAUUUGUUAAAAGAAUUUGCGCCACUUAAUUUUCUGGGCAAUGGACCUGGGCCCAGGCCCGACACUUCAUCUCUUAGAGCAUUUCCAGCAGUUAAGGCUAGACUCGGGGGGGGGGGGGGGGGGGAGGGGGGUUGGGCAAAAAAGUGAUUUCCAGCAACAAAAGCAAGCCCGGGCAGAUGGUGGGACCCAGCAGACUGGGCUAGCCCGAGGGCAAGGCUGAUGUCAGCAUGCUGACGUCACGUCGACGUCGGCCCUGCGUCCAAAUUUUUUUAAAUCGUCCAUGUGGCGCGCUAGGCUCUCCGAUGAUAUUUUUUCUAGCAAUCCAACGGUAGCCAAUGUUUGUGCAAUAAAAAAAUAAUAAAAAAUGGAUAAAUAUGUAAAAAAAUACCAAAAAAAUUACUGAAAUUUUUUUUUUCUCUAUACCUUAUUUCCAUUUUUAACAUUUAAGUAAAUGUCUUUGUCCUUUUACUUUCAUUUAUUUUUAUAUUACUCCAUUUACUUAAGUUUACAAUGUAAAUAAGGAAGUACCCCCCAUUUGGAUUCAAAUAAAAAUACUAGAAAAUCAAAUUCCUACCAAAUCAAAAUAUGAAAAAUCGGUUUUAGUGCAAAAUACGAUUUUGGCUAAAAAUGAUGGCUCAUUAAGUCAAUAUGUACUUCAUAUUAAAAUUUCAUAAAAUCAAGUUUUCUUAUUUGAUGUGUAAGGAAUAAAAGCCGCCAAAAAUUAUCUUGAGAAAAUGAUUAUUCCGAAAAAUUAUUUUUCAUACUUAGUCAAUAUUGCACAUCAGCUACAAAAAUUCUGGGUCCGCCAGUGUCUAUAAAUACCAACCAAUACAACUAAUAAAAUAAAAUCAUAUCCAAAAAUAUUAUCCAAUAUGAAUAGUAUUGACACGUAGGAACCCAAAAAUAUUAUCCGAAAAUAUUAUCCGAAUUAAUUGUUUAAGUAAAAAAAGUUGUGAAAAAAAAUAAAAAAAUGAAUAGUAUUUGCCAUGGCAAAGAGCAACUGUUGGAAACACAUUUUGCUAGAGGGGCUAGGGCAGCCACUAUUCACGUGAAUAGUAACUGCCCUAGGGCUCCCCUUGCCAUGGCCAGAGCCGGCCCUUGGGGAGGGCAACUGGGGCCUGGGCCCGGGGCCCAUAAUUGAAAGGGGCACCAAAAAAAUAAAGUUAAGCCAUAUAUUAUAUACGUAUAGAACAAAACAAAUAAAAUAAAUAAAUAAAAAACCAAGCGUGCAUUUUUGUUUAAUCCUCCCUUCCCAAAAGCGCGUGCUCACCCAUAUAUGCUAGCAAAUAUAUUGUUUUUUAAUCCUAUUCCAAAAAAAAAAACAAAACAAAAAAACAAAACAAAACCAUACCACACUAGGGUUUAGAUUCUUGUUAUCUCAAUUUUCUUAUAUAUGUACCUAUCAUCCCUCACUCACAAUCACACCGCGGCCUCUCUCCUCUCCAUUGCCUCUCUCUUUCGUCUUUCCUAUCAUUUCCCCUCCAUGACAGAAGAGACGAAGCCAACAGAGCUGUAAGUCCUUUCUCUUUGUCUAUUUAUUUCCUAUGUUGCUGCUAUUUUCCAAAUAAUCACUUUAUAUAGGCAUUCUUGCAGAUUCAAGAUCGCCAAUUGAGAACUUAUUCAUUGAGAAUUGAGAUGGGUUUCAGGUGCAGACCCAGAUAAACAACAAAGAUGAUUUUUCUUGGGCCUUAAUCAGUUUUGCAGGGAGAACGUGAGUUUUGUAAUGAAUUACUUGGUUUAAACAUGAAAAUUUAUCUGAAGAUUUACCAAAUGAAUUGUUCAUAUUCAUUUGGAAGAAUAAGCAGAAAAUGAAAAUGAAUUGAAAGUUUAUGAUGCAAAAAUGGCAGAUUUACUUUUAGAAAAGUUUCAUGUGGGAGAAACUAACUGCAAAUUCCCUAUGGAUGAACACGAUGACAUUUUUUCUCAAAUUAUUAUCAUCAAAAAAUAACAAACGGGAAGGCUUAUGUUGUAAAAACAAUGAAUGCUAUAAUUUUAAUAAAAUUAAUUACUUGAUAAAAAAUUAUAAUUUUAAUGUUUACAUUAUUUUGGGCACACUUUAAAUUUUUGCCCUGGGCCUCAGAUUACCCAAGGCCGGCUCUGGCCAUGGCAAGGGGUAAACUACUGGAAAUGCUCUAAGGGAAAUAGGAUUUCGUUUCCUCUUUUUUGGGGGAAAGUUACAUAUGUAUGUACAGUAUAUAAAUAGGACUUUGAGGCUGUGAAAUAAACCCUAAAAGUGAAAAAGAAAGAGAUGGUACACAGAAAUAAAGAGCCAAGAGCGCCAAGUUUGUGGUACAGAAAAUGCCACCAUUAGCUGAUCUCAUAAGUAGUGAUGAUGUUGUAAGGAAGGACAAUCGUGUUGUGUACAAGUAACGCAGAAUUAUUCGGUUAGUAUCCUAACAAUUUUACCGUUCUCUUUUUUAUUUUUUAUCUUUUUCUUAUAGUUCCAAUAUAUACGACAUUAACAUGUACUAUUUUUAUUCUUUUUCCCAGUGACAUUAUUGAGCUAUUUGACGAAUUCAUGCUCUCCGAUCAAUAUUGCCAUUGGGAUAUUCGACACAUAAAUUGUAGGAAAUAAUAGUGCUAAAAUGCUAUAAAAUAAACAAAUAAACACUACAAACAAAACAAAUUUUUACAACAGUAGUAUGUAAUUAAAAGAACCUUAAUUGAGUCGAGGCAAGUGUUAGACACUCUGACCUUAAGACGAAUUACGCCCCACACUAGUGCUUAUGGUUCACUAGCGUUCGCCUCCCAGGAUACAACGACUCCCCUCCUUAUGAAAGAAGCACUGCAAUUCACAAGGAACUUUGAACCAAAAUUAUGCAGGAAACUCUCUUUAUGCAAACUCUAAUGCUCUCUAUAUAUGAAAGUAUGUAUCUAGAGAAUUGAUUGAAUUAAUAAAAACUGCAGGAGGAUUGCUCUAUUUAUAGAUGAUGAAAUACCCUUUCCAAAAAGGUAUCCCAAUCUGAAAAGGCAAACAGUGCAUCCUUUGGUCUUGAAGAGUUGUCAUCCCAAACAAUGUAUCCCUUAGUUUGAAGAGUUGUCACCCCCCAAUUGAAGAUGUCUUUACCCAAAGGUCAUGUCUUUAACCCAAUGGAUUUUAUUAAUUUCCAUUCAAAUAGAAAAUUAAUAUUAAAUAUAAUAUUAAAUUUCUCACAAUCCCCCACAUGAAUGGAAAUUAGUUUCAACAAUAUGCAAAUGAUAAUGCAGACUUAGAGAGAGUUCCUAUUAGAAGAAUAUGGCAUCUGGAUAGGUAGCUUUUGGCUUUGAACCUUCCAUAGUGAAGUACUAUCGGAUUUACUUGGCUAAUCAGUGAACGUGAUGUCUUGAACUGUUCAGCCGUUUGUGUAAACCCAGACAAUAAUACUCACACAAUACCCUUCUAGACAUAUCUGGUUCGAUCGGUUGUGCCCGUUUUGGCCCUGAGCAACUCCUGGCAUUCAUAAGUGCUUUAGAGAAUUUAGCCCUAAAAAUUCUCAUGGAAACGGCCCUAUUUCACACUUAUAUAGGUGAUUUCCUAUUGGUAAUAUCCUCUCAUAUCUUACUCGGAUAAUCAAGGUAUAGGAAUCAUUAAAAGCAUAGCUUAACCUAAACACAUUUCAUACAACACUGUAUCAUCAUAGGAUAUGGGUAGGAGAAUAUAUCUCUGCAGUGUUAUUUUUGAGUUAUCAUAAUUUAGUUGUCCCUUUUGAACCUAGAUCUUGGGAUCUCCAGUCAACUAGGUUGGGUUUCCACUAUGACUACUCAUUUGACAUGGGCUUUAACCCCAUUCCCCUCGAUGAUCUAUAAACUUGUUCUCCGUUCAAACCUUUAGUAAAUGGAUCCGCCAAAUUAUCUCUUGACUUUAUGUAGUCAAUGGUAAUUAUUCCACUGGAGAGCAGUUGCUUAACGGUGUUGUGUCUUCGACGUAUAUGUCGAGACUUGCCGUUGUACAUAUUGUUUUGUGCCCUUGCAAUUGUAGAUUGACUAUCACAAUGUAUACAUAUAGCAGGCACAGGUUUUGGCCAACAUGGAAUAACUUCUAAGAAAUUACGUAGCCAUUCAGCUUCCUCACCAGCUUUAUCUAAUGCUAUGAACUCAGAUUCCAUAGUAGAUCUAGCUAUAAUAGUUUGCUUAGUAGAUCUCCAUGAUAUAGCUGCACCUCCAAUUGUAAAGACAUAUCCACUUGUAGAAUUGGAGUCUUUAGUAUCAGAUAUCCAAUUAGCAUCACUAUAUCCUUCAAGUACAGCUGGAUAUCUUGUAUAAUGCAAUCCAACAUUUUUGGUGUAUCUUAAGUAUCUUAGAACUCUGACUAUAGCUUUCCAAUGAUCCCUUCCAGGAUUACUAGUGUAUUUGCUUAAUUUAUUAACAGAGUAAGCUAUAUCAGGCCUUGUACAAUUCGUAAGAUACAUGAGACUACCAAUAAUACGAGCAUAUUCUAUUUGUGAUACACCAUGACCUAUAUUCUUCACAAGAUUAAGACUUGGAUCAUAAGGAGUUCUUACUGGACUAGUAUCAUACUUGCUAAACUUCGCAAGUAUUUUCUCAAUAUAAUGUGAUUGGGAUAAAACUAGUCCAUCAGAUGUUCUAGAAAUUUUAAUUCCUAGAAUCACAUCUGCUACUCCCAAAUCUUUCAUGUCAAAAGUUUUGGUCAACAUUUUCUUGGUAGAUUUAAUCAUCCCAAUAUUGCUACCAAUAAUUAACAUAUCAUCAACAUAAAGACAAAUAAUGACAAAACCAUCUUGAGUGCUUUUCAUAUAAACACAUUUAUCACACUCAUUGAUCUUGAAACCAUUUGACAUUAAUGCAUUGUCAAAUUUCAGAUGCCAUUGUUUUGGUGCUUGCUUUAACCCGUACAAGGACUUAACAAGCUUACAUACUUUCUUUUCUUGUCCAGGAACAAUAAACCCUUCAGGUUGUUCCAUAUAAAUUUCCUCAUCUAAAUCACCAUUUAGAAAGGCCGUUUUCACAUCCAUUUGAUGUAUCUCAAGGUUAUGCAAUGCUGCAAUUGCAAUUAACAUUCUUAUUGAUGUUAUUCUCGUAACUGGUGAAUAUGUGUCAAAAUAAUCCAAUCCUUCUUUUUGUUUAUAACCUUUGACAACAAGCCUUGCCUUAUAUUUGUCAAUUGAUCCAUCAGCUUUCAUCUUUCUCUUAAAAAUCCAUUUAUAACCCAAUGGUUUAUUUCCAGGAGGAAGAUCCACAAGUUCCCAAGUGUGAUUCUGCAUGAUGGAUUCAACUUCGGCAUUAAUAGCCUCUUUCCAUAAAAGAGCUUCAGGAGAAGUCAUGGCUUCUUUGUAAGUUUGAGGCUCAUUUUCUAACAAAUAAGUUAGAAACUCAGGACCAAAGGAUUUGGUUGUCUUAACUCUCUUACUACGCCUGGGUUCAUAUCCAGGUUCUGGUUCUGCAGUCUCUUGGUCUAUAUUUUCUUGAUGACUUUCUUGGUUAUCGCUAUUAACAGCAUCUAAGGUUCUUUUAAGUGUAUUUCUUUCUUGUGCAUCCUUAUAAGGAAAUACAUUUUCAAAGAAAGAUACAUUCCUUGAUUCAAUAAUCGUAUUCACAUGUACAUCUAAUAUAUCAGAUUUGUGUACAAGGAAACGAUAUGCACUACUGUUAAUGGCAUAACCGAUAAAUAUACAGUCAAUAGUUUUGGGUCCUAUCUUAACCUUUUUAGGGGUUGGAACCGCAACUUUAGCUAGACACCCCCACACUUUCAAGUAUUUAUAGGAAGGCUUGUGACCUUUCCAUAACUCAUAAGGUGUUUUGUCUAACUUUUUAUGAGGCAAUUUGUUGAGAAUGUAAUUAGCAGAAAGUAAAGCUUCCCCCCACAAAUUCUGGGGUGCUCCAGAACUUACUAGCAACGCAUUCAUCAUUUCUUUUAAAGUACGAUUUUUGCGUUCAGCAAUACCAUUUUGCUGAGGUGAGUAUGGGGCAGUAGUUUGGUGAAUAAUUCCGUGUUGGGAACAAAACUCACCAAAAGGUGAUUCAUAUUCACCACCUCUAUCACUUCUUAAUAUCUUUAUUUUCCUGCUAAGUUGAUUCUCAACUUCACUUUUAUAAUGUUUGAACAUUUCUAUGGCCUCAUCUUUGCUUCUUAGCAAAUAUACUUGACAAUAUCUUGUACAAUCAUCAAUAAAAGUAAUAAAAUACUUUUUACCACCUCUAGUUUGUACAAAUUUCAAGUCACAAAUAUCACUGUGAAUUAAUUCUAGAGGUUCUGUACUUCUUUCUAUAGACUGGAAUGAUGAUCUAGUUAGUUUUGCUUCAACACAGGUUUCACAUUUAUUAUGGAAAUCAAUAUGAAACUUAGGUAUUAGUUCCAUGUUAAUUAAUUGACGCAAUUUGUCAUAAUUAACAUGCCCUAAUCUUCCAUGCCACAAAUCAGAUAACUCAAGCAUAUAAGCAGAACUAACUUUAUUAUUAUUAACUUUGUGUACAACAGUCAUUACAUUCAUCUUGAAGAGUCCAUCAGUAAGGUACCCUUUCCCCACAUACAUUCCAUUCUUUGUAAGUACAAACUUAUUAGACUCAAAGACUAGUUUGAACCCAUUCUUGCUAAGCAGUGAUCCAGAAACCAAGUUCUUCCGGAUCUCAGGGACGUGAAGUACAUUAUUGAGAGUGACUUCCUUUCCAGAUGUCAUCUUUAGAACUAUUUUCCCUUGGCCAUGAAUUUUGGAGGUGGAGGAGUUUCCCAUGAAUAAAGGCUCUCCUUGAUCAUUUGCUGCAUAGGUAGAAAACAUCUUCCUUUCAGAACAUAUGUGGCGUGUAGCUCCAGUAUCCACCCACCAUUCCUUGGUGUUGCCCACCAAGUUCACUUCAGACACAACUGCAGAAAGAUUAAUAUCUGACAAGUCAGUUGAAAGCUUGUCUUCUUCAGUCAUGUGUGCCUCAGUCUUGCCCUUUUUCUUUUGGUUGCCUUGUCCAUUUCUACUUCGGCAAUCCACAGCUCGAUGGCCUUGCUUAUUGCAAUUGAAACACUUUCCCUUAAACUCCUUGGAUUUCUUGGAGUUCCCUUGACUUGAGCCUUCUCCAGAGUGCUUCCUCUUCUUGUUAUUUCUUGACUCUUUUUCCACUAUGUUAGCCUUAGCUUCCAUUAUGGAUCCAGACUUUUUGUCAGCACGGUGAUUGUCUUCUUCGAUCCUUAGCCUUACUAUCAAAUCCUCAAGUCCCAUCUCCUUACGCUUAUGCUUAAGGUAGUUUUUGAAAUCCUUCCAAGAGGGUGGUAAUUUUUCAAUGACAGCAGCCACUUGAAAAGACUCACUCAAUUCCAUCUUUUCUGCAUGUAUCUCAUGUAGAAUGAGUUGCAGUUCUUGGACUUGACUUAUGACAGUCUUGGAGUCUACCAUCUUGUAGUCAAGAAACCGACCGACAAUGAAUUUCUUCAUUCCUGCAUCUUCGGUCCGAUAUUUCUUAUCUAGUGACUCCCAUAAAGCCUUGGCCGUCUGAAUUGGACUAUACACAUUGUAUAGUGCAUCACUUAAACCAUUUAGGAUGUAGUUCCUGCAAAGGAAAUCCGACUGGUUCCAUGCAUCAGAAGCAGCCACUGUUUCUAUUGUAUCACCAGGUCCAGGAGGAUCUGCUUUCAGGAUAUGAGCCAAAUUCAAUGUGGUGAUGUAGAACAACAUCUUUUGUUGCCAUCUCUUAAAAUCCAUCCCAUUAAAUUUUUCAGGCUUCUCUGCAUGAUUAUGGGAUGAAGGCAAUACUACAGCAGGUGUACUUGUCUUCACAGAAGGACCUACUUUCUGUAUCUCAUUCGACAUUUUCCUUAAUUGAGUGAACAAUCUCAAUGUCAAUAAACAAAUAUUUGGUAGUCUUUAAUAGAUAAUGAAUCACAAUAGUGUGUUACAACAAAACAUACAGAAAUAAAUAAUACAAUACCGAUAAGAAGUAUAGCAAACACAAUAUGCAAUUUAUUCAAGAUAAUAGUAAUACAGAAUGCUAUAUUUCACAGAUACAGUGAAUUUAAUGUAUGUAGAUAAAUAUAAUCAAAAUUUAUAAACAGAAUAAUAAAAAAUGAUGCCAAACAGAAAAUAGAUUCCAAAUAAAUAAAUAAAAACGAUGCUGUAUAUUUAGACUUUGUCUAACAAUAGAAACAGAAGGCAAUCAGUGUUUGUGGCAAUCUUUAUUGAAAGGUCCCGAUUAUUAUAACUUAGCUUUGGUUAACUUCGAAUUGUAUAAAACAAAGGAAACUAACAGGAAACCAAUUCAAUAGAAUAAACAACUAAUAAAAAGAUGUUUUGCUGUUUGUACCAAAAUCAAACCUUUUGCAGCGUUUAACAAUUAAAAACACAGAUUAAAGUAUAUAGCAAAUAACACAAUUAAUUCGUCUUAAGAUUGUAGGAAAUAAUAGUGCUAAAAUGCUAUAAAAUAAACAAAUAAACACUACAAACAAAACAAAUUUUUACAACAGUAGUAUGUAAUUAAAAGAACCUUAAUUGAGUCGAGGCAAGUGUUAGACACUCUGACCUUAAGACGAAUUACGCCCCACACUGGUGCUUAUGGUUCACUAGCGUUCGCCUCCCAGGAUACAACGACUCCCCUCCUUAUGAAAGAAGCACUGCAAUUCACAAGGAACUUUGAACUAAAAUUAUGCAGGAAACUCUCUUUAUGCAAACUCUAAUGCUCUCUAUAUAUGAAAGUAUGUAUCUAGAGAAUUGAUUGAAUUAAUAAAAACUGCAGGAGGAUUGCUCUAUUUAUAGAUGAUGAAAUACCCUUUCCAAAAAGGUAUCCCAAUCUGAAAAGGCAAACAGUGCAUCCUUUGGUCUUGAAGAGUUGUCAUCCCAAACAAUGUAUCCCUUAGUUUGAAGAGUUGUCACCCCCCAAUUGAAGAUGUCUUUACCCAAAGGUCAUGUCUUUAACCCAAUAGAUUUUAUUAAUUUCCAUUCAAAUAGAAAAUUAAUAUUAAAUAUAAUAUUAAAUUUCUCACAUAAAUAUCGUUAAUGAUCGAGUUCGGAAGGACCUAUCGUGAGAAGAACGUGCAAGACGCAAUUCAUAUCCAUGGUUGGAGACAUACUUGGUAAUGGUGACAAUGAAAGGGAGCUAAACCACUUUUAUCACAUGGCAAACCAUGGGUAAGGACUUUCUUGCUCUUUUUUCCUUUUAUUACUAUUUUUUUUUUAAUGGAAUAUUUUUAUUUUUAUUUUUAUUUCUAGUGUGGCGUUUAUGGAAUUAUGGCAUCACCCACUACUCAUGGGACGUGAUGAGAGAUUCUUUUUCCCCAUGCAUGCCUUCAUGAGACUUCAACAUGUGUCUAAAUGGGAAACACACGAAGUAGAGCUCACAGAUUUAUAUGAUUUCUUUGUUAAGAAGCGCAUUAGCAUCCGGUUCUUAACGAGGUAAGGGAUCCUACUUAAUGUUUUUUUUUUUUUCUCUAUUUUUUUCCUAGUAAUUCUAACCCAUCAUAUUUGUUUUUGUUAGUUUCGACGAAGACAUUUGAUGAUCAUCAACUCCAUCUUAUCCUGGCAGCAACAGAAAGAAGUAUAUAUAUUUUUUCAUUUUUCAUAUCGAUUUCUUAGAGUGGUGUGAGAGUUGUUAAUUGAUGCUUUAGAACCCAUAAAUAUUUACAUAUUUUGGAUUUGUUUUAUUCUUAUAAUUAAAUUUCCUACAUUAACAUAAGUUUACGCAAUUCAUUUAAUCACAACUGACAAGUUAAACCUAUCCCAGUCCAUUCCAACUUCAGUUAGUAUGCAGGCAUGUAGUUUCCCUUGCUUGUCACGUUCAGCUUGGUGGUUAAACUUCACCCUAAAUAUCAACCUUAGAGACCAGGGACAAACCUUUAGUUUUCUUCCUCGUCUCGAAACUAUAUCUGAACUAUUUUGAAGCCAAGAUUGGUAUAAAUGACCAGGAAUGAUUGUUUGUUCAAAAUCCAUUGCAGAGGCUUGUGUUCUUCUUGUUUUCCUUCUUAUAGCCCCCCGUCUCUCCUGAACCUCCUUCAUCCACACUUUGUAAAUUGAUUAGUCUCUAGUUCUUUUCUCCUCUUUCAGAAAAUGAUUUAUUUGGCAAACAUAAGAUUAAUUGUACAACUUCAUCAACUAAAGAAUUGCAAUUGCACUCUCUCCUCCAGAUUACCUAUGAUAAUCAGGACACCUGAACUUGGCAGAAGAAAGAGCUCCAGUGUGAGUGGCUUUUGGUUCUCUGAAUAUUUAUGCGGGCCAUAACGCGGAGCAACUUUUGCAGGGGAGAGCCUGAUUUCGUGUCAUGCUCAUGUUAUAACUGAUGAAAUAACCUAUAGGUGUCGGCAUUUUGCGUGCUACACCAUUUGAAAAGGGACAAAUGGACGGUGCAAGCAAAGCAAGGAAGAUGGACGAUUGAGAUUCGAGGUUGACAUUAAGAUUUUAAACUCGGUUGUGUAUAUGAAAAUUUGUAACAACCAAAACCAAGUAUUGAUGCGCACUAAUUUCUUAUUUUUGUGCAUUGCCACGUAUAUUUUUAACUCAUACACAUACUUAUAGGCUUAGGCUUCGGCUUGAGCCAUCACCAACCGCAAAUGAUGUCAAAAGCCCAAUAUGGCCCAUGAUCCAUGAAGACGACAACAAGCCCAACACACGAGCAUGCCAACCUAAGAUGAGCACGAGUAAUUUUUCAAUGUGUUUGAGCCUGGUCAAAAUCUGACAGGGUCUGGCCCAAGAUUCAACAAUUAAAUCUAUAAAGGGCCCAAGUUAUGCUCGAGCGGUCUAAAUUAAAAUACCAUUUGGGCCUAAGUUAUGUUCAAGUGGCCAUAAUCAAUAAGAUUGGCUACAAACCCAAAUUCAUAAAGGCUUAAUUACACUAAUGCCUCACGAAAUUUUAGUUAAAUCUCACUUUAUUCCCUGAAACUUAAAAUGGCCCACUUUCUUACCUUCACUGAGGUUUAAUGACCCACUUUGCCCCAUGCCGUCAACUUCAUCCAAAAUUCUGUUAAAAUUGAUGAUGUAGCGUGGGCUUAUUGGUAAUUUCAUACACAUGAAUCAUUACACCAAUUUGAGUAUGUGUGAGAAAUCUCCCUCACUUUGUACUUUAGAUUAUUACUUGUAUUCAAAAGGAAAAAAAAAAAGAGAUAAUUAAAAAGCCUCCUUUUUUUUCCUCAUUCCGUCUACAAAUGAGAGGGGAUAGAUUCAAACUCUGACUUUUGAGUGUGGGCUAAACGCUCUCUACCACUAUAGUUACAAGCCCUCGUGUAUUAAACCUUCUUUUGAUGGCAUAAGUGCACAAUGUCAAUGUGCAAGAUCAAGAUGUUGAUGUUUACAAAGAGAAAUUCUACCACAUGACCAAAUUUCGUGUAACCUUAAACACAAAUAAUAGUACAAAAAUUUCUAAAACCAAUCAAUCCUCAAUCAUGAAAUUAUGAAAGAAAAAUCCAUAAUUGAAGAAACCCAAAUUGAGAAUUGGGAUGUUUUACUCAGAUUAUGAUCGAACUCUUGUCUUUCUAGAAAGCAAAUAUUAUGAGAAUUACGUUGUCCUAUAUAUCAGCUCAAUUUUUAAGACGUCAAACAGUAAAAGAAUCUCGAUCAAAAAAAAAAAGUAAAAGGAUUUUGACGAUCAAUUUAGACUCUUUCAAUGACUAGUAAGCAGACGGUUUAGAGGUGCCGUACAGAGAUAUUUAUAAACCAGCAUGCCAAGUUAAUAUACAAUAAAUUGAAGUGAGAUUGUCUUCAUUCUUCUUCUGCAUCAGCUUCUUGGGUUUUGGCAGAUAAGUCAUGCCUGAA
rnacentral:lncRNA from 1 species